AACGAACGCUGGCGGCAGGCUUAACACAUGCAAGUCGAGCGCCCCGCAAGGGGAGCGGCAGACGGGUGAGUAACGCGUGGGAAUCUACCCAUCUCUACGGAAUAACGCAUGGAAACGUGUGCUAAUACCGUAUACGUCCUUCGAGAGAAAGAUUUAUCGGAGAUGGAUGAGCCCGCGUUGGAUUAGCUAGUUGGUGGGGUAAAGGCCUACCAAGGCGACGACCCAUAGCUGGUCUGAGAGGAUGAUCAGCCACACUGGGACUGAGACACGGCCCAGACUCCUACGGGAGGCAGCAGUGGGGAAUAUUGGACAAUGGGCGCAAGCCUGAUCCAGCCAUGCCGCGUGAGUGAUGAAGGCCCUAGGGUUGUAAAGCUCUUUCACCGGUGAAGAUAAUGACGGUAACCGGAGAAGAAGCCCCGGCUAACUUCGUGCCAGCCGCCGCGGUAAUAC
rnacentral:rRNA from 1 species